AUGGAAGUGAUGACUAUUUCCCCAGAUGAUCGACGCUGAAAUUACUGAGCGAUCUUUCUCUUUUGAGAAACCAAGCCAAUUGAAUCUGAUCCAU